rnacentral:rRNA from 1 species
GAUGAACGCUGGCGGCGUGCCUAAUACAUGCAAGUCGAGCGAACAGACGAGGAGCUUGCUCCUCUGACGUUAGCGGCGGACGGGUGAGUAACACGUGGAUAACCUACCUAUAAGACUGGGAUAACUUCGGGAAACCGGAGCUAAUACCGGAUAAUAUAUUGAACCGCAUGGUUCAAUAGUGAAAGACGGUUUUGCUGCCACUUAUAGAUGGAUCCGCGCCGCAUUAGCUAGCUGGUAAGGUAACGGCUUACCAAGGCAACGAUGCGUAGCCGACCUGAGAGGGUGAUCGGCCACACUGGAACUGAGACACGGUCCAGACUCCUACGGGAGGCAGCAGUAGGGAAUCUUCCGCAAUGGGCGAAAGCCUGACGGAGCAACGCCGCGUGAGUGAUGAAGGUCUUCGGAUCGUAAAACUCUGUUAUUAGGGAAGAACAAAUGUGUAAGUAACUAUGCACGUCUUGACGGUACCUAAUCAGGAAGCCACGGCUAACUACGUG